AACGAACGCUGGCGGCAUGCCUAACACAUGCAAGUCGAACGAGACCUUCGGGUCUAGUGGCGCACGGGUGCGUAACGCGUGGGAACCUGCCCUUAGGUUCGGAAUAACUCAGAGAAAUUUGAGCUAAUACCGGAUAAUGUCUUCGGACCAAAGAUUUAUCGCCUUUGGAUGGGCCCGCGUAGGAUUAGCUUGUUGGUGGGGUAAUGGCCUACCAAGGCGACGAUCCUUAGCUGGUCUGAGAGGAUGAUCAGCCACACUGGGACUGAGACACGGCCCAGACUCCUACGGGAGGCAGCAGUGGGGAAUAUUGGACAAUGGGCGAAAGCCUGAUCCAGCAAUGCCGCGUGAGUGAUGAAGGCCCUAGGGUUGUAAAGCUCUUUUACCAGGGAUGAUAAUGACAGUACCUGGAGAAUAAGCUCCGGCUAACUCCGUG
rnacentral:rRNA from 1 species